rnacentral:rRNA from 1 species
UUGACCUCGGAUCAGGUAGGAUUACCCGUUAAACUUAAGCAUAUCAAUAAGCGGAGGAAAAGAAACCAACAGGGAUUGCCCCAGUAACGGCGAGUGAAGCGGCAACAGCUCAGAUUUGGAAUCUGGCCCCCAGGGCCCGAGUUGUAAUCUGGAGAGGAUGCUUCUGGCGCGGCGCCUUCCGAGUUCCCUGGAACGGGACGCCGGAGAGGGUGAGAGCCCCGUACGGUUGGACGCCUAGCCUUUGUGAAGCUCCUUCGACGAGUCGAGUAGUUUGGGAAUGCUGCUCAAAAUGGGAGGUAAAUUUCUUCUAAAGCUAAAUACCGGCCAGAGACCGAUAGCGCACAAGUAGAGUGAUCGAAAGAUGAAAAGCACUUUGAAAAGAGGGUCAAACAGUACGUGAAAUUGUUGAAAGGGAAGCGCCCGUGGCCAGACUUGUGCCCCGCGGACCACCCGGCGCCCUCAGCGCCGGUGCACUCCGCGGGGCGCAGGCCAGCAUCGGUUUUCCUAGGGGGAUAAAGGCGGCGGGAACGUGGCUCCUUCGGGAGUGUUAUAGCCCGUCGUGCCAUGCCCCUGGGGGGACCGAGGACCGCGCUUCGGCAAGGAUGCUGGCGUAAUGGCCACCGGCGACCCGUCUUGAAACACGGACCAAGGAGUCAAGCAUUGGGGCGAGUGUCUGGGUGCCAAACCCGCACGCGAAAUGAAAGUGAACGCAGGUGAGAGCUUCGGCGCAUCAUCGACCGAUCCUGAUGUUCUCGGAUGGAUUUGAGUAAGAGCCUUACCGCUUGGACCCGAAAGAUGGUGAACUAUGCCUGUAUAGGGUGAAGCCAGAGGAAACUCUGGUGGAGGCUCGCAGCGGUUCUGACGUGCAAAUCGAUCGUCAAAUAUGGGCAUGGGGGCGAAAGACUAAUCGAACCAUCUAGUAGCUGGUUACCGCCG